AGAGUUUGAUCCUGGCUCAGAUUGAACGCUAGCGGGAUGCUUUACACAUGCAAGUCGAACGGCAGCGCGAGGGGAAGGCUUGCUUUCCCUUUGGCGGCGAGUGGCGAACGGGUGAGUAAUGUAUCGGAACGUGCCCAGUAGCGGGGGAUAACUACGCGAAAGCGUGGCUAAUACCGCAUACGCCCUGAGGGGGAAAGGGGGGGAUCGCAAGACCUCCCACUAUUGGAGCGGCCGAUAUCGGAUUAGCUAGUUGGUGGGGUAAAGGCCUACCAAGGCGACGAUCCGUAGCUGGUUUGAGAGGACGACCAGCCACACUGGGACUGAGACACGGCCCAGACUCCUACGGGAGGCAGCAGUGGGGAAUUUUGGACAAUGGGGGCAACCCUGAUCCAGCCAUCCCGCGUGUGCGAUGAAGGCCUUCGGG
rnacentral:rRNA from 1 species